rnacentral:rRNA from 1 species
UACAGAGGUCUCAAGCGUUAUUCGGAUUCAUUGGGCGUAAAGGGUGCGUAGGCGGCGCGGUAAGUCGGGUGUGAAAUCUCGGGGCUUAACUCCGAAACUGCAUUCGAUACGGGUGGACUAGAGGUAUGCAGGGGAGAACGGAAUUCCUGGUGUAGCGGUGAAAUGCGCAGAAUAUCAGGAGGAACACCGGUGGCGAAGGCGGGUCUCUGGGCCACUACUGACGUGAGAAGCGAAAGCAUGGGGAGCGAACAGG